CCCUUAGAUGUUCUGGGCUGCACGCGCGCUACACUGACGCACGCAACAGGUGCCUGCUCCGAGAGGACUGGGUAAUCAUUUGAGUGUGCGUCGUGAUGGGGAUAGAAUAUUGUGAUUAUUACUCUUCAACGAGGAAUUCCUAGUAAGCGCCAGUCAGCAGCUUGCGCUGAUUACGUCCCUGCCCUUUGUACACACCGCCCGUCGCUCCUACCGAUUGGGUGUGCUGGUGAAAUGUUCGGAUCGGCCGUUUGUCGCGGUUUCCGCGUCAUGUGGCUGAGAAGUUCAUUAAACCCUCCCACCUAGAGGAAGGAGAAGUCGUAACA
rnacentral:rRNA from 1 species